rnacentral:rRNA from 1 species
AAAGGAAUAGACGGGGGCUCACACAAGCGGUGGAGGAUGUGGCUUAAUUCGAGGCUACGCGAAGAACCUUAUCCUAGGUUUGACAUGUACGGAUUAACCCGGUGAAAGCCGGGCCACAACUUCGGUUGGAACGUGCACAGGUGCUGCAUGGCUGUCGUCAGCUCGUGUCGUGAGAUGUCGGGUUAAGUCCCUUAACGAGCGAAACCCUUAUCUUUAGUUGCCAGCGAGUCAUGUCGGGGACUCUAAAGAGACUGCCGGUGUUAAACCGGAGGAAGGUGGGGAUGACGUCAAGUCCUCAUGGCCUUUAUGCCUAGGGCUGCACACGUCCUACAAUGGUGCGGACAAAGGGAAGCCAACUCGUGAGAGCGAGCAAAUCCCAAAAACCGCACCCCAGUUCGGAUUGCAGGCUGCAACUCGCCUGCAUGAAGCCGGAAUCGCUAGUAAUCGUAGGUCAGCAUACUACGGUGAAUAUGUUCCUGAGCCUUGUACACACCGCCCGU